rnacentral:rRNA from 1 species
CUUUCGGGUCGUAAAGCUCUGUCGAGGGGAAAGAAGUGUAUUGUGGCCAAUAUCCACGAUACUUGACGGUACCCCUAAAGGAAGCACCGGCUAACUCCGUGC